GUAGGUGGCAAGCGUUGUCCGGAAUUAUUGGGCGUAAAGCGCGCGCAGGCGGUUCUUUAAGUCUGAUGUGAAAGCCCACGGCUCAACCGUGGAGGGUCAUCGGAAACUGGAGAACUUGAGUACAGAAGAGGAAAGCGGAAUUCCACGUGUAGCGGUGAAAUGCGUAGAGAUGUGGAGGAACACCAGUGGCGAAGGCGGCUUUCUGGUCUGUAACUGACGCUGAGGCGCGAAAGCGUGGGGAGCAAACAGGAUUAGAUACCCUGGUAGUCCACGCCGUAAACGAUGAGUGCUAAGUGUUGGGGGGGUUUCCGCCCCCCUUAGUGCUGCAGCUAACGCAUUAAGCACUCCGCCUGGGAGUACGGCCGCAAGGCUG
rnacentral:rRNA from 1 species